rnacentral:rRNA from 1 species
CGGGGGGCAGCAGUAGGGAAUCUUGCGCAAUGGGCGAAAGCCUGACGCAGCCAUGCCGCGUGAAUGAUGAAGGUCUUAGGAUUGUAAAAUUCUUUCAGCGGGGACGAUAAUGACGGUACCCGCAGAAGAAGCCCCGGCUAACUUCGUGCCAGCAGCCGCGGUAAUACGAAGGGGGCUAGCGUUGCUCGGAAUUACUGGGCGUAAAGGGCGCGUAGGCGGAUGUUUAAGUCAGAGGUGAAAGCCCAGGGCUCAACCUUGGAACUGCCUUUGAUACUGGACAUCUUGAGUAUGGGAGAGGUGAGUGGAACUCCGAGUGUAGAGGUGAAAUUCGUAGAUAUUCGGAAGAACACCAGUGGCGAAGGCGACUCACUGGCCCAUUACUGACGCUGAGGCGCGAAAGCGUGGGGAGCAAACAGGAUUAGAUACCCCAGU